CGCACACACAGACAUGCACACGCGCGCGCACCGCUGCUCUCCCUCCGACACACUGGAGGGAAAGGUCAAACUAAAGGCGAGGGAGCGGGGAGGCCUGAGGAGCUGCCACUGCCGCGCGCCAUGACGGACGUGGCCGAGGCUGCUUUCUUUCCGCCGACGCCGCCGAGCCGUUGCUCUCGUCGCGCCCCCUGCCCCCGCCCCCAUGUCCGUUCUCCCCCUGUCCCCUACCCCCGGCUCUCGCGCGUCCACGCGUCCCCUCCCCCCGUCGCUCCAGGCGCGCGUCGGGCCUGGGGCGCGCGCUGGCGCUGAGCGGGAGCGGGCGUCACAGGGUAGGGGUUGCGGCGGACGAUCGGGCGGCCUCCCCGCGCGACCCCCGACGUCCUCGGCGAGGGCCCGCCAGGAAACCCUAGAAUUGGGCACACCAGCUCUUACUCAGCACAUCCCCCUCCUGUAGGUCUCCUUGACCUUGGUGGCAUCAUGGAGUGCAUUUGGGCUUAUUUGGAAUCAGAAGAGAUGAUGUUGAAUGAAAUACCUGGGGAGUUUUCCUUCUGAAAUCAUUUCGCCUUGGGCGGACGCGUGUCGUCGUCCCCACGAUGCAGUGUGAGCAUCUGCACGGGACGUGUCUGAGCUCGCAGAGGGCGGCGCGACCUCCACACCCCUGGCACUGGAGUCUCCGGCACCGAUCCGUCCCUGGCCUGGAACCGAGAACGGCCUCGGUGCACGUGCAGUGAAGGACCGACUCAGUAGGCCAGCUCUCCGCAUCCUGUGCAUUCCAAAGAGCGGUCUGGCCCUCGACCAAAUGCUCGCUCACCUGGGGCCUUGAGCAACACCGGACAGGUGUGCUGACUGUGGGGUGUGGUGCCGCGCGGGGCCAGCUGGUCCUGGAAGAGCCGAGCACCGAGUGAGGUGGGCCCUCUGGGUGCCCGGGCCCGCGGCCCCAGUAAAACUCUCGGGCGUGCAGUCUCAGGUGAGCCUCCCCGGCUGGCAGCACUCCGUGCGUGUCCCCACACGUGGUCUGGGGAAGAGUUAAAUGACACGUCCUCGUGGAGAGGACGGCCGGAAACUUCUCUCUGCUCUCCCAGACUCUGUCUGUCCUUCCUGUGUGCCUUUCACAUCUGUGGAGUUUACACUGUGUUUGUUUUUGCUACAAUAAAUUGUGACUUGGCAUA